rnacentral:rRNA from 1 species
UAGGGAAUUUUUCACAAUGAGCGAAAGCUUGAUGGAGCAAUGCCGCGUGAACGAUGAAGGUCUUUAAGAUUGUAAAGUUCUUUUAUUUGGGAAGAAUGACUUUAGCAGGUAAUGGCUAGAGUUUGACUGUACCAUUUUGAAUAAGUGACGACUAACUAUGUGCCAGCAGUCGCGGUAAUACAUAGGUCGCAAGCGUUAUCCGGAUUUAUUGGGCGUAAAGCAAGCGCAGGCGGAUUGAAAAGUCUGGUGUUAAAGGCAGCUGCUUAACAGUUGUAUGCAUUGGGAACUAUUAAUCUAGAGUGUGGUAGGGAGUUUUGGAAUUUCAUGUGGAGCGGUGAAAUGCGUAGAUAUAUGAAGGAACACCAGUGGCGAAGGCGAAAACUUAGGCCAUUACUGACGCUUAGGCUUGAAAGUGUGGGGAGCAAAUAGGAUUAGAUACCCUAGUAGUCCACACCGUAAACGAUAGAUACUAGCUGUCGGGGCGAUCCCCUCGGUAGUGAAGUUAACACAUUAAGUAUCUCGCCUGGGUAGUACAUUCGCAAGAAUG